rnacentral:rRNA from 1 species
GAUGAACGCUGGCGGCGUGCCUAACACAUGCAAGUCGAGCGAUUCUCUUCGGAGAAGAGCGGCGGACGGGUGAGUAACGCGUGGGUAACCUGCCCUGUACACACGGAUAACAUACCGAAAGGUAUGCUAAUACGAGAUAAUAUGCUUUUAUCGCAUGGUAGAAGUAUCAAAGUUUUUGCGGUACAGGAUGGACCCGCGUCUGAUUAGCUGGUUGGUAAGGUAACGGCUUACCAAGGCGACGAUCAAUAGCCGACCUGAGAGGGUGAUCGGCCACAUUGGAACUGAGACACGGUCCAAACUCCUACGGGAGGCAGCAGUGGGGAAUAUUGCACAAUGGGCGAAAGCCUGAUGCAGCAACGCCGCGUGAGCGAUGAAGGCCUUCGGGUCGUAAAGCUCUGUCCUCAAGGAAGAUAAUGACGGUACUUGAGGAGGAAGCCCCGGCUAACUACGUGCCAGCCGCCGCUGUAA